GAGAAAGCGACGUUUUAAUUUUCUUUUUCCUAAAAAUCGAAAAGACAAAAGCAAUGUGGAGAAGAUCAGCGUCGUUCAUCCUCGACGACGAACGGCGACGAACCUCGAACUCACCUCCCAUGGCAGACAACACCACGCGAGCCCCUUUCCAAAACCCUGACGCCAUCUCCGCUUACUACCAAACCCGAGCGGCUCACCACGGCGUCAUCACAAGCGACUGGCUAGCCCAAGCUCAAGCCGCCGUGGGCGGCGUCUCCGGCGAGGAGCAUCCCGACUCAUCAGUCGCCGAGCUCGGAAAGGAGAAGACUUUCAAUGUAAUCGAGGAGUUCAACGGCUGGAGGAAACAGCCGGAUCUGGCGGAAGCCGUCGCGGCGAUAAGAGCUUUAGCUGCGGUUAUCCGAGCGGGACAUCUUCGUCAGCAUCAUCUCCUCUUCUUACUCUGUCUCGUUUCUUGUAUGCCACUUUGGAUAUGUCUGCUUCUGAUUCCACUUCAUCUCUUCUUGUCUCCAUCAAUCCGAAGGUGGUGUUCUCAACUUUGAUUCAUCCGGUUGCUGUUUUAAAAUUGUGGUUUUUUGUGUGUUAAUUUUCCUGGAUUGAUCUGGAACUGUUUCAAAUUAGGUUAAAGUUUUUAUUUUUUCAGUGGAUUUCGUUUCAUAUCUUCUUAUGAGUCACUUCCACUUCGCCUAUGUCAUUUCUUUUUAUGAGUCACUUUUAAUCAUUGUAGAUUUUGUUUACAUGUGCUCUGUCUAGUGAAAUCAUGAACAUAAUCUGUGAGUAUCAUAGAGUUGAUAGUUAACUGUUGAUAUUGUUACCUAUCAUAAAAACUCUUUAUUUAGAGUCAUAAACCCCUAUCAUUGAAUGACUCUUAUGCCUCAGGGUAUCAAGGGUUUGCAUCGCACAAUUGCAGCUGAAAUAGAAUCCCGUGAUGGUUUUAAUCUUCCUCAAAAGGCAGCCGAACCUUCAAAGACCACACCAGAUGCUUUCCACUGUAAAAGCCCUCGCUUCGGACAGGUAAAAAAAAAAAAAAAAACUUCACAAAACGUACAAGUUUUUUUGAAAAAUAUAUAAGCUGAUUGUUUUUACACUCACUGUGGUUAAUUAGGUUCCUGGAACAUGGCACUUCAGACACACAAUCCUUCCGCAACAAGAAAACAAGGUUCCAGCCGCAGUGAAUCGUCACAGAGAGAUGCACAGCAGCUCCGGUAAGAGUCCAGCCGCCGCCAAGCAACCCGCGGCCAAGAGUGCCAAAAAGGUUUCCUCCAAGAGCUCCAAAAAGAAACCCGCCAAGAGCGCCGGCGGCGGCAAGGGCUCCUCCGGCACAUUGUUUCCGAAACGUAGCAAGUUCCCUAAACACCACCGAGGAAGACUAAGAGGUAUAUCUUCAGGCGAUAAUCGUAUCUGUUUCGGAAGAUACGCGCUUCGAACACUUGCACCGGCCUGGAUCACGUCUAGGCAGAUGGAAGCGGCGAGACGAGCCAUGGUGCGGCACGUGCCGCGUAGCGCGAAGAUUUGGAUACGUAUGUUUCCGGACAAGGCGGUUACGGGGAGACCGUGCGAGGUACGUAUGGGUGGUGGGAAAGGACCUCAGGAGUAUUGGGUCGCUGUGGUUCAGCCAGGUAAGAUUCUUUAUGAGAUGGCUGGUGUGCCCGAAAGUGUAGCUAGAAAAGCUAUUACAGUAGGUGCUUCCAAAAUGCCUAUAAAGACUCAGUUCAUUUUUAAUGAAAAAACUAUAUAACAUUCUUGGAGGAUGACAAGAUUGUAAGUUUUAUUUUUCUUGAUAAACAGUUUUUUUUUUUUUUUACUUUCAAUAAAAGAAGGGAGUCAAGAAAUGAUAUUUGAAUGCAGCAUGUAUUCAUCACAACAUGAGCUAGUUAUCAAUUCAAUGGAAUAUGUACUGGUCUAAGGUCUUAUUGGCUUUGUCUUUGAGAGCUCUAUAUUAAGCAAGUAUUGUAUAUAUGUUUAUGGCUAAUACGUGUGAAUGAAUGUGUGUGUAAGUGAGGAAUAAUCAUACAGUGAAUGGCCUAAAAAUCAUUAGAUUAUCCUCACCAUCUGAUACACAAUUGUAGAAAAAUUAAGAUUAGUGGGACAGCAGUCAAACUAGAUCACGUACAACACUAAUAUACAAGAGUUUCAAUCUCUCUUUCUUUCUUUAACUCAAACGUAUAUAGUUUGCUACCCAAAAAGUCUCUUGAUUAAGUUCUGACAAGCCGUAGAAGCACUGUAGUUUAUUGGUUAAAGUUUAAAGUUUUUACGAUUCGAUUCUUAUACUAUGCAAUUUCUUGCAGAUUAUAUGAUGCGAAGCUUAUUGGAGGUUCCAGAGUACUUACUCUGUUGGCAGAGCCGUUCGUUGUGGUCGUAUGCUGUGCAGAGAGCCUGUCCAUCGAAGAUGUCGUACAUGCAGAACCGUCUGUCGAUCCAAGUGUUUCAGAGAUGACUUUAUCGUGGAAUCCUUAUCCGUGGAGCUGUUGAUCAUAUCUAAUAGAAUUAGAUAUUAUACGAUGACGUAAGGUGUUACUUAGCUCCUACAACUAUACGAUGCAUCUUCAAAAAAAAAAACUAUACGAUGCAAGAAGAAUCGAAAAUAAUCAUUGGCUUAUUAAUGGGCCUAAUCUGACCCAGAACUGAAUAAAACAUUUUUUUUCUCGAGAAAGCGACGUUUUAAUUUUCUUUUUCCUAAAAAUCGAAAAGACAAAAGCAAUGUGGAGAAGAUCAGCGUCGUUCAUCCUCGACGACGAACGGCGACGAACCUCGAACUCACCUCCCAUGGCAGACAACACCACGCGAGCCCCUUUCCAAAACCCUGACGCCAUCUCCGCUUACUACCAAACCCGAGCGGCUCACCACGGCGUCAUCACAAGCGACUGGCUAGCCCAAGCUCAAG
rnacentral:lncRNA from 1 species